GCUUGUCUCAAAGAUUAAGCCAUGCAUGUCUAAGUAUAAGCCUUUAUAUGGUGAGACUGCGAAUGGCUCAUUAAAUCAGAAACUGUUUAUUUGAUAGUGCCUACUACAUGGAUACCUGUAGUAAUUCUAGAGCUAAUACAUGCACUCGAGCCUCGACCGAGGCCCCGGCAACGGGGUCGCGGAAGAGGUGCUUUUAUUAGAUCAAAACCAGUCGGGGAAACGAUCGCCGGGUCAAACCGGUCGGUCGCGGAACCGUACCAAUUUUGGUGACUCUGGAUAACUUCACGCCGAUCGCACGGCCUUCGCGCCGGCGACGUAUCUUUCAAAUGUCUGCCUUAUCAACUGUCGAUGGUAGGUUACGCGCCUACCAUGGUUGCAACGGGUAACGGGGAAUCGGGGUUCGAUUCCGGAGAGGGAGCCUGAGAAACGGCUACCACAUCCAAGGAAGGCAGCAGG
rnacentral:rRNA from 1 species